UAACGGCGAGUGAAGCGGCAAUAGCUCAAAUUUGAAAGCUGGCCCCUUUGGGGUCCGCGUUGUAAUUUGUAGAGGAUGAUUCGGCGAGGGCUCCCGUCUAAGUCCCCUGGAACGGGGCGUCAUAGAGGGUGAGAAUCCCGUAUGUGAUGGGUUGCCUUAGCCAUGUGAAUCUCCUUCGACGAGUCGAGUUGUUUGGGAAUGCAGCUCUAAAUGGGAGGUAAAUUUCUUCUAAAGCUAAAUACCGGCCAGAGACCGAUAGCGCACAAGUAGAGUGAUCGAAAGAUGAAAAGCACUUUGGAAAGAGAGUUAAAAAGUACGUGAAAUUGUUGAAAGGGAAGCGCUUGCAGCCAGACUUGUCCGCAGUUGCUCAGCCGGUCUCCUGACCGGCGUACUCUUCUGCGGCCAGGCCAGCAUCAGUUCGGGCGGUCGGAUAAAGACCUCGGGAAUGUAGCUCCUCUCGGGGAGUGUUAUAGCCCGGGGUGGAAUGCGGCCAGCCUGGACUGAGGAUCUCGCUUCGGCUAGGAUGCUGGCGUAAUGGCUGUAAGCGGCCCGUCUUGAAACACGGACCAAGGAGUCUAACAUCUAUGCGAGUGUUUGGGUGUCAAACCCAUACGCGUAAUGAAAGUGAACGGAGGUGGGAACCCUCACGGGUGCACCAUCGACCGAUCCUGAUGUCUUCGGAUGGAUUUGAGUAUGAGCAUAGCUGUUGGGACCCGAAAGAUGGUGAACUAUGCCUGAAUAGGGUGAAGCCAGAGGAAACUCUGGUGGAGGCUCGCAGCGGUUCUGACGUGCAAAUCGAUCGUCAAAUUUGG
rnacentral:rRNA from 1 species